GAUGAACGCUGGCGGCGUGCCUAAUACAUGCAAGUCGAGCGAACAGACGAGGAGCUUGCUCCUCUGACGUUAGCGGCGGACGGGUGAGUAACACGUGGAUAACCUACCUAUAAGACUGGGAUAACUUCGGGAAACCGGAGCUAAUACCGGAUAAUAUAUUGAACCGCAUGGUUCAAUAGUGAAAGACGGUUUUGCUGUCACUUAUAGAUGGAUCCGCGCCGCAUUAGCUAGUUGGUAAGGUAACGGCUUACCAAGGCGACGAUGCGUAGCCGACCUGAGAGUGUGCUCGGACACAGUGGCAGUGAGACACGGCACAGACCUACACGGGAGGCAGCAGUAGAGAAUUCUCCGAUAUGGGCGAACGUGUGACGGCGAAACGCCGCGUGAGUGAUGGAGGUCCUCGGAUUGUAAAACUCUGUUAUUAGGGAAGAAAAAAUGUGUAAGUAAAUAUGCAUGUCUUGACGGUCCAUACUCAGAAAGCCACGUAUAACCACG
rnacentral:rRNA from 1 species